rnacentral:rRNA from 1 species
AGUGAACGCUGGCGGUAGGCCUAACACAUGCAAGUCGAACGGCAGCACAGGAGAGCUUGCUCUCUGGGUGGCGAGUGGCGGACGGGUGAGGAAUACAUCGGAAUCUACUCUGUCGUGGGGGAUAACGUAGGGAAACUUACGCUAAUACCGCAUACGACCUACGGGUGAAAGCAGGGGACCUUCGGGCCUUGCCCGAUUGAAUGAGCCGAUGUCGGAUUAGCUAGUUGGCGGGGAAAAGGCCCACCAAGGCGACGAUCCGUAGCUGGUCUGAGAGGAUGAUCAGCCACACUGGAACUGAGACACGGUCCAGACUCCUACGGGAGGCAGCAGUGGGGAAUAUUGGACAAUGGGCGCAAGCCUGAUCCAGCCAUACCGCGUGGGUGAAGAAGGCCUUCGGGUUGUAAAGCCCUUUUGUUGGGAAAGAAAUCCAGCUGGCUAAUACCCGGUUGGGAUGACGGUACCCAAAGAAUAAGCACCGGCUAACUUCGUGCCAGCCGCCGCAGUAA